AGCAAGCAACUUUUAAACUUUACCCAUAAUAAAGAAAAUUUUCAAAAUAUUCAGUAUUUUAUAAAAACCCUAUAUUCACCUUACAUACCGCAAGGGUUAAUACUCUAGCCUUUCAAAGAAAUGAUAAUCUCAUGUCCCUUUUGCAUCAUGGAGAAGCAACAAAAAUAUAGCAAAGUUAAUCUCCCGAAUGACUAUGAGCUACUAACUCUUAAAAAUCAAUGUUUCAUAAUUGAUAAAGUAACCUUUAGUAGAAGUAACAAGCCUUUCAUAUAGUCCUAUAGCUGGUUUUUCUUUAAAAGCAUCAUAGUACUGUUUUAUAGUAUAAGUGAACAUCGCAACGCUAUAAAAUUUAGUUUAUUGAGGAUUAGCUCAACAAACACAUAAAAAUAUCUUAUCAUUUCACUUUUUUAAGUAGACUUAAAAGCAGCCACCACAUAACGUUUUAGUUACCAAUCCCUUAUUCACCCAAUAUUCAUAUCCAUCAUUUUAACCAUAAAGAAAUUUAACACAAAAUUCCCCGUGUUAGUAUACAGGCAUUCUAUUAGUAUUAGUUAAAAUUAUUACUUUUCACAACCUUUAAAAAACUUGAAACAUUAACAUUUUUACUUAUCGUUAAUCAUACAAAGCGAACUCGGCAAUAUAAGUAUUCCUUGCCUGUUUACCAAAAACAUCGUCUUUCGAACCAUUCUGAUGGAAGAUAAUGCCUGCCCAGUGAAAUAUUUAAACGGCCGCGUUAGCGUGAGCGUGCUAAGGUAGCGUAAUAAUUAGCCUUUUAAUUGAAGGCCAGUGAAUGGCAAGACUAGGAAUAACUGUACUUUGUAUGUAAAAAAAACUUUUCAUCUAAGUGAAAAGACUUAGAUAACGAAGGAAGACGAAAAGACCCCGCGGAACUUUACCUUCUCUUAUUCCUCUGUCUACAAACUUAAAAGUCUAUAAGGUUUGAUUGGGGCAAUCUUGGAACCAACAAAGCUUCCAACCUUCUUUUAAAAAUAUUUAAAAUUUAUUAAGGACCAAAAAGUAGUUACCCCGGGGAUAACAGCGUAAUCCAACUCAAGAGUACACAUCGAAAGUUGGGUUUGCGACCUCGAUGUUGGCUUAAGGACAUCCACAUAAGUGCAACCGCUAUGACAGGAUAGUCUGUUCGACUAUUAUACCCUUACACGAGCUGAGUUAAGACCGGCGCAAGCUAGGUUGGUUUCUAUCUCCUUUAUUCCCAAGCCUUUUCUUGAUUGUACGAAAGGACCCCAAGAAGUGCAUUUAAUAAAAGCAUUUAUUAAACACUCAUUAAAUUUAACCAUAAUGAAG
rnacentral:rRNA from 1 species